CGGGUGUAGCUCAGUGGUAGAGCACAACCUUGCCAAGGUUGGGGUCGAGGGUUCGAAUCCCUUCACCC
rnacentral:tRNA from 1 species